rnacentral:rRNA from 1 species
UGAGGGAAUAUUGGGGUCAAUGGGGCGAGAGCCUGAACCAGCCAAGUAGCGUGCAGGACGACGGCCCUAUGGGUUGUAAACUGCUUUUGCGCGGGGAUAAAGUGCGCCACGUGUGGCUCAUUGCAGGUACCGCGCGAAUAAGGACCGGCUAAUUCCGUGCCAGCAGCCGCGGUAAUACGGAAGGUCCGGGCGUUAUCCGGGAUUCAUUGGGUUUAAAGGGAGCGUAGGUGGACUGUCAAGUCAGUUGUGAAAUCCACGGGCUCAACCUGCGGCCUGCAGUUGAAACUGGCGGUCUUGAGUCCGUUCAGGGAUGCUGGAAUUCAUGGUGUAGCGGUGAAAUGCUCAGAUAUCAUGAAGAACUCCAAUCGCGAAGGCAGGCAUCCGGGCCGGAACUGACACUGAGGCUCGAAAGUGCGGGUAUCAAACAGGAUUAGAUACCCUGGUAGU